GCACCGCCCUGUCCUGCUUUCUGCCGCUGCGCUGAUUUAAAAGAAGCACUGAGCCUCAGCACAGGUUUGGCACAAGACCUCCUGAGCAGGACAUGUAACCCACAAAAUAUAGCCAGUAUCCAAGGCUGCUCACAACUUUGCUUCUUGUGAGAAAUAAAGAAGACGAUGGUCUUAAAAGGGUUUUUUACCACAAGAAACUCCCCCCCGUUCAUGGAAUAUACCUCUUGUGUUUCUCUGAGGCCUCUUUCUGCCAUUCUGAGGAGUAUAAUGAUAAAUCCAGAGGGUUUACCACUGAUCAUGGGGAGACUAAGCAGGUGAGAAGCUGGAAAAAUGCUUGGAAAAAUAUAAUAAAAAUGAAUAAACUCUGCUGCUACCUUUGUAUUCAAGCCAACAACGGCAAAAAAGGGACAUGUGUUUUAAAGUAAAUGCCUAAUUAAAGUGUAAUGUUACUGAAUUAUUAAUGGUUUGACAUGUCGUUUAGUGUGACAUGUCUAAGUUAUGUCUGCCUAACCUUAGCUAGUAUGUGCCCGCUCAGCUCUCCUCAUGUUUCAGCCACUAGCCACAUGCUGCUCCGUCCAUCUUCACGUUUUUCAUUCAUUUCGACAUGUGACUGAUUAGCGUUGCAGGCUUUAAUCUGUGAUUUAUUGAGCUCGUCUCAGUUGGACUUUCAUGGUUACUGCCACCGACGUGAAUGGUCGGCUUUGUGUUGAGGAUAUGCCUUGACCUUAAUUUCUUUUAUGAGAGCGGAGCAACAAUAAAACUGCAAUAAGUUGCCGGAAACAGUUUGGUGUGCUGGUUAGUGUAACACCAUUUACAGCUUUUACUUUACAGUAUUUGAUUUAAAGCCUGUCUUUUUUCAGCCUUAUACAAAUAAUAAUAAUAAUUUGGCGACAACCUAUGUUGGUGUUUAAUGUGUUUUUUAAUACAUUGUGGGUUUUUUUGUUUGGAAACUGGCCAUUUAUGAAGUGCUGUUAUACUAAAUCAAGUUUGGAUGCUAACAUCUGUAAAUGCCCGGUGAUGUACACGUUUGUCAAGCCACUCGCAAGUGUUGUUUUCAAGGUAUUUUCUUUUGGAUUAUAGACCAAAAUUGCACAGAUAUGGGAAAUAAUUAUGAGAAUUAUAAGAACAUUUGUUUAUGUGUAGCUUCAUGCUUUUUCUUUUGAUUCCCUGACAAAAAAAAGCCCCCUCGAAAUAUGCAACUGGCAUUGCUUCUAUUGCUGUUUAUUUGUUACUAUAUCAAAGGUAUUCAUUCAAUUUAAACUUUAAAAUAUUGUAUUUUUGGGGGGAGUUUAUGUGAACAACCAACACAAAUGACCAAAUAAAUGGGUGAUGAAAUUAAAUGACACAUUGUUGUCUACAUUUUUUGUACAAAAAAACAACAACAUCAACUAUUUAGCAUCUAGAGGCUGAAUAUAGUUCAAAUAGUUCAAGCACAGUCAGAUCUGAAGUGGAGUGUCUGCUGUCAUUUUUAGGCCUACCAAAAAAGUUAAAUUAGAUUCAGGUCUGGACUUUGACUGGGCCGUUCUAACGCAUUAACAUAAUUUGAUCUAAAUGGAGCUUGGGCUGUGUGUUUAGGGUCAUUGUCUUGCUGGAACGUGAGUCUCUAACAGGUUUUCCUUCCAGGAUUGUCCUGUAUCAAUCUUUCCAUCACCUCUGAUCAGCCAGCCUUUCCCUGGUGAAGAAAAGCCUCCCCACAGUAUGAUGCUGCCACAUUGGAGAUUAUGUCCUUCAUGGUCUUGUGCAGGGUUAGAUUUCUGUUACAUAAAAUUUUCUUAUACAGGCCAAAAAGUUUAAUUCAGGGCUCACUUGGCCAGAGCACCUUCCACAUGUUUGAUGCCUCUUCUGCACAGCUUUGGUCCGAGUGCUAACAGACUCUCUUUCAACACUAACUUUUACUGAAUAAUAAAAUUGUUUUGCCAACAGAUUUUCCCACCUGAGCUUAGUGUCACUUUUAAAAGAUGUUAAUGACUAUACUACUCUUUUGGGGGUUCUCGGGGGGUCUUUGUUUGGCAAAUUCAUGCAAACUGCACAAUUUAUUUACAUCGCUUUGUGACUGGACUGCUGCUUCCCCUUUUUUUUAACAUCUGAUUAUUAUCUGAAUAUGCUGUAUUAUCUAUUAAUAAUUGCUCAUUAUGUUUCCCAUGCUAAGUCUUUCUCUGUUGCUGCACAGCUUAAUGUUAAAUUUAGCUUUUGUCAUGUCUUGUUUUUGCAUUUCUGGGGUAGGGGUGUAAAUCAGCAGUUAAAUAGAUUUGUUUGGAUGACGAUGCGAUAUUUGCAGGUAUCACAAAGUCUAUAGCAAUAUCAUCUGCUCAUCUAACCCCAUUAUUUACAUUAACAAAAAAACAAGCAAAUAGGAUUUGACAAUUUUAUUUCUAUGUAGGGCAUUUAAAUCAAAAAGAAAACCCUUCUUAUUUUAAAAUACUGAUAUUUAUAAAUCACCUAAUAAUUUUAGUGUCAUUACUUGUGAAUUACAAAAUAAAGGUGCAUCUCAAGAAUAACGAUGUGGACCGAUAUUUUCGUUUUGUGUCGAUGUAAUUGGAUCAUUUAAUAGAUAUAUCGAUGUGCAUCGUUGUAUUGUUACGCCCCUAUUCUGAAGAGAUUCUCUGGGAAUACUAAUUUUUUAUUUGUAAAGAUUUUUGAUUCUUGACUCCUCCAAAGUCACCAUGGGGCCUCUUGGCUGCUUCUUUGAUCGAAGAUCUCUUUGCCGGGCCGUUUUACGCAGACGUUCAUUUCUUGGUAGGUCUGCAUUUGUCCCAUACUCUUUCUAUUUUCAGAAGAUAAAACGGUCCUUUCUUUCCUGUUCAAAGCUUAGGAACGAGUUUUCUAGCCUAACCCUGCUUCAAGCUUCUCCACAACUUUCUCCCUGACCUGUCUGUUGUGUUUCUUGGUCACUAUGAUGUCUUUUGUUCUCAAACGACCUCUGAGGCCUUCAAAGACAGCUGAAUUUAUACUGAGAAUAAAUUACAUACAGGUGGACUAUAUUUAUUAGUUAAAAGGCAGCUGGUUAAAAUGUAUUUCAAUCAUGAGUAUCAGAGGAAAGAAGGCAGAUUAGGAAUUAAUUUAAUACAUUUCCAUUUUGAAAACCAUGUAUCAUUUUCCUUUCACUUCACAGUACACACAUUUGGACCAUUUUAACUUUCCAUGUCAGCAAUAAACUGCACUCCAUGGUUUUAGCAUUUUUUAUUACUGGAUGGUUUUGCUGUACUUUUCUUUUCAAAAUAGUUAUUUUGAGUUAAUAGUUAAUAGUUAGUUAAUAGUUUACUGGAAUAAAACUAAACUGUACGGGUUGAUUACUGGGGUGUAAUAAAGAUUUGUGUUGUAGGGUUUACCCCUCAGUUCUUUAUUUAACCAAAUAACACAUAUAUCCCCCUGAUAAUUUCUGUGUCGUGUGCACAUGAUUUAAGGGUAAACUCCCACUCCCCGCAGAGCUCUGUGGAGCAUGUGAUAUGUGUCCUUAUCUCCUGUGUCACUGCCCCUCCGUCCUUUUUUGGACUCCCUGGCUGUACGUCCGGAGGUUUCCACGAUUUCUCACGUUACAUGUGGGAGGGUCAGCUUUGCCAGUUGGUGUGUUGCAGUCAGUAAUUGGCUUUAUGUUUGUUACAUAUAUUCCCCCGACACCUCAGGCCCUUAGCCUAAAUUUACUCCUGCUGGGCAGCUACUCUGCUGGCAUUCGAAGACCCCAACAGAUGCAUCAUGAGACCCUGACCUUCCCCCUGACACACCCUCAGUGGUCCGGGGGCUGACUUGAGCAUGCCUUAUCCACACGAAUAUACAGACUGAGGCCAAGCUUUUCAUCAAAUGUAGAUGUAAAAACGUAUCUUUGGGCUAUAAUAACUGUAAGGAUUGUAUUAAUCAUGGUUAGUUGCUUUAUUUCUGGUUAUUUUAUGAUUUACUUGGUUUUGAUAUCAGAAAAUCAAUAAAUUACAGAUCCACCA